rnacentral:rRNA from 1 species
GACGUAGGUGGCGAACGUUAUCCGGAAUUAUUGGGCGUAAAGGGUGCGUAGGCGGCCUGAUAAGUUAGCAGUGGUAAAUCGAGGCUCAACCUCGCGGAAACUGGUAAUACUGUCUGGCUUGAGUACAGGAGAGGUUAACGGAACUCCAUGUGGAGCGGUAAAAUGUGAAGAUAUAUGGAAGAACAUCAAUAAUGGCGAAAGCAGUUAACUAUUCUGUUACUGACGUUGAGGCACGAAAGCGUGGGGAGCAAAACGG